rnacentral:rRNA from 1 species
UACGGGGGGGGGCAAGCGUUGUUCGGAAUUACUGGGCGUAAAGGGCUCGUAGGCGGCCAACUAAGUCAGACGUGAAAUCCCUCGGCUUAACCGGGGAACUGCGUCUGAUACUGGAUGGCUUGAGUCCGGAAGAGGUGAGUGGAACUCCGAGUGUAGAGGUGAAAUUCGUAGAUAUUCGGAAGAACACCAGUGGCGAAGGCGGCUCACUGGUCCGGUACUGACGCUGAGGUGCGAAAGCGUGGGGAGCAAACAGG